GGGCAGAUACCCAAGUGGCCAAAGGGACCUGACUGUAAAUCAGGCGGAGCAAUCCUUCGAAGGUUCGAAUCCUUCUCUGCCCACCA
rnacentral:tRNA from 2 species